rnacentral:rRNA from 1 species
AGAACGAACGCUGGCGGCAUGCCUAAUACAUGCAAGUCGAACGAAGGCUUCGGCCUUAGUGGCGCACGGGUGCGUAACGCGUGGGAAUCUGCCCCUUGGUUCGGAAUAACAGUUGGAAACGACUGCUAAUACCGGAUGGUGACGAAAGUCCAAAGAUUUAUCGCCAAGGGAUGAGCCCGCGUAGGAUUAGCUAGUUGGUGAGGUAAAGGCUCACCAAGGCGACGAUCCUUAACUGGUCUGAGAGGAUGAUCAGCCACACUGGGACUGAGACACGGCCCAGACUCCUACGGGAGGCAGCAGUAGGGAAUAUUGGACAAUGGGCGAAAGCCUGAUCCAGCAAUGCCGCGUGAGUGAUGAAGGCCUUAGGGUUGUAAAGCUCUUUUACCCGAGAUGAUAAUGACAGUAUCGGAGAAUAAGCCCCGGCUAACUCCGUGCCAGCAGCCGC